UUAAUUUAAGCCAAAAUUUCAAACCACCACUGCCGCUGACGUCCUCACCAUCGCAAAACACCUUCCCCACACCACACCCAUCGCCGCACCACCAUCGGCUCCCGUCCACAGCAGCGCCCCCGUCGCCUCACGCCGUCGACACAGCCACUAGCCGCCAUCUCCUCACGCCGUUGACUCAACCACUAGCUGCCGUCGCCUCACGCCGUCGACACAGGCACUACCCGCCGUCUCCUCACGUCGUCGCCCCUGCUGCCCUCGCCGCCGGCAUUGCCUCGGCUUCCUGCUUCACCGCCGGAAUCGCGCCUGCUCGCCAGGAAUGUUUUAAAGCUAAUAGAAGUGUCUGUAAGUGAUAAGGUGGAGGAAUUCUGUGCAUCAAAAGAGAAACAAGGAAUUCCAACAGUCAGUCAAGGACUGAAAGAGAAAGCAGAAGAACUGAAAGGAGUUAAGGAAGAUCUAAAAACAAGGUUGGGGAAUGCUCAAAGGUUUGCUGCAAUUAAUGAGUGGCAGUUUGUUGCUUGCUGCUGUGUUCACAAUCUUGGAUAUAUGUUUUGAGGAAGUUAUGUUGCUGAAAUUCGGAGCAGAGAUGGACUAUGAAUUUGGUAGUGCUGCUGCAAUUAAAUGGCAGUUUGAUUGAGCUUGUGAAUUGUGAAUGGAGAUGAGCUAUAAAUGGAGGAUGAGUUCAUGUUGCUGUUGUAAUAUGAUAAUGCAGAGUCUGGAAAUUGUGAUAUUGGAAUUAUGCUCAUGAAUUCUGGGAUGUUUGGAUAAUACAGUGAGUAACAAUAGCAAAAAUUUUGGAAGGGAAACACAAUUUAUAUAUAGAUAAUUUUUGAUGAACUUC